rnacentral:rRNA from 1 species
AUUGAACGCUGGCGGCAUGCCUAACACAUGCAAGUCGAACGCGAAAGAGGGGCAGCCCUUGAGUAGAGUGGCGGACGGGUGAGUAAUACGUAGGAAUCUUCCUUAGAGUGGGGGAUAACCCGAGGAAACUCGGGCUAAUACCGCAUAAUCUUUAAGAGGCAAAGGUGGCUAGCAAUAGCUAUCGCUUUAAGAUGAGCCUACGCCGGAUUAGCUAGUUGGUAGGGUAAUGGCCUACCAAGGCAACGAUCCGUAGCUGGUUUGAGAGAACGACCAGCCACACUGGGACUGAGAUACGGCCCAGACUCCUACGGGAGGCAGCAGUGGGGAAUAUUGGACAAUGGGGGAAACCCUGAUCCAGCGAUGCCGCGUGUGCGAUGAAGGCCUGCGGGUUGUAAAGCACUUUCGUUGGGGAAGAAAUACUCAAAGCUAAUACCUUUGAGAGUUGACGUUACCCAAAGAAGAAGCACCGGCUAACUCUGUGCCAGCCGCCGCAGUAA